UAGAGGCUGGGAGAGGUAAGCGGAAUGGCCGGUGUAGGGGUCAAAUCCGGGAAUAUCGGCAGGAACACCGAAGGCGAAGGCAGCUUACUAGCACAGUCCUGACACUCAUGUACGAAAGCGUGGGGAGCGAAGCGGAUUAGAUACCCGCGUAGUCCACGCCGUAAACGAUGGAUACUAGACAUAGGGAGUAUCGACCCUCUCUGUGUCGUUCAAAAAAGCUAACGCGUUAAGUAUCCCGCCUGGGGAGUACGGCCGCAAGGCUAAAACUCAAAGGAAUUGACGGGGACUCGCACAAGCGGUGGGUCAUGUGGUUUAAUUCGUCUCUACGCGAGAAACCUCACCAAGGCUUGAAAUCUAGCUGCAUCCCACUAGAAAUAGAGGGAGCCUUCGAGGGUGCUAGACAGGUGCUGCAUGGUUGCCGUCAGCUCGUGUCGUGAGAUGUACGGUUAAGUCCGAUAACGAGCGCAACCCCUAUCCUAAUUUGUACUUUAUUAGGAAACUGCCUCGGUCAACGAGGAGGAAGGAGGGGACGACGUCAAAUCAGCAUGGCCCUUACGCCUUGGGCUACACACAUGAUACAAUGGCCAGUACAAUGGGUCGCCAAGUCGAAAGAUGGAGCUAAUCCCACCAAAACUGGUCUCAGUUCGGAUUGAGGUCUGCAACUCGACCUCAUGAAGCUGGAAUCGCUAGUAACCGUAAAUCAGAACGUUACGGUGAAUACGUUCUCGAGUCUUGUACACACUGCCCGUCACGUCAAGAGAGUCGGUAAUACCCGAUAUCG
rnacentral:rRNA from 1 species